UACAGAGGAGCCAAGCGUUGUCCGGAUUGACUGGGCGUAAAGCGCACGCAGGCGGUCGCGCGCGUGGGGUGUGAAAUCUGGCCGCUUAACGGCCAGGCGCCAUCCCAUACGGCGCGACUGGAGCGUAUGCAGAGGUCGGUGGAAUUGCCGGUGUAGUGGUGAAAUGCGUAGAGAGUCGGCAGGAACACCCAGGGGGAAACCAGCCGACUGGG
rnacentral:rRNA from 1 species